UUUAGAGAAUAUGUACUCAAU
rnacentral:snRNA from 1 species